UCCAAUGAAUACAGCCAAAUUGCAAGAAAUAAAAUUAAAACUACAUCGAAUUUGUAUUCCGAAUAAAGCAUCAUUUUUAGCUUCCAUUAAGAAUUUAAAUGAAACUUGUAAGUUCAUUCCAUUUAACAAACCAAUAGAAGAUAGAAUUUAAUUAUGAGUUAACAUAUUAGUUUCUUGCCAUUUAAUUAAUUAUAAAUAGAAGGCGCCUGUAGAAAAUUCAGCUUUCCCAAGUUCCCAGCCACAGUCAACAUUAAUUUCUAGUCAAAAAUUAGAUUCAUAAAACUCAAUUAUGAGCAAAAAUAAAUAUAUUUUAACACGGUAUUAUUCUUUUAUUAAAAAAGAUAGUGCAUAAAUAAGGUCUGCCUUCAUCAUAGAUCCAACCGACAUUCGUCCACACUCCACCCUAUACAUUCCAAAAAUGCGCUUCAUUCUUGGCGGGUAAAUAAAUUUUCAAAUUUUGGCGAAAAAAGCUUUUUCGUAAGCAACCAUACAUCGAUUCCCCCAUUUCCAUCACUACCGGAAUGAAAUCCGUCCUCCAGUGCUGCUUCCCCCCACUGCUCUCCCCCUUUAAACUGCAAAUGGGGGGUUCAAGCGUCCUCCGGUUAACGAGUCUCAAAAGUGUUCUCCUUAUGAUACGAAAAUUUUCAAAAAGUAAAAGAACUUUUGACUUUUUAGAAUGAAUGGCUUCAUCACAAAAGAAAGAGGUGAUGUCUGCAUUGUUUAUUACUGAGAUGAAAAAGAAAAACCUGCUCACAUCAAGAAGGUGAUGUCUGCAUUGUUUAUUACUGAGAUGAAAAAGAAAAACCUGCUCAC